ensembl:lncRNA
UUUUGAGGAAAAUUGACAGGACUCGUUUUAUUGGAGAAUUCCAGAACAUCAGAGGGACAGAGACUCCUGCACACAUCAGAGAACCUCUUAUCUAAAAAAAACUGUGCGUUUAGAAAACCAGCAAGAUGGAAAGCUGUUGCACACACGGCUGCUGUAGUCGCCUAGGAGACAUGCAUGUCACUGUUACAGGUUCGCCUAGGAGACAUGCAUGUCACUGUUACAGGGUCGCCUAGGAGACAUGCAUGUCACUGUUACAGGGUCGCCUAGGAGACAUGCAUGUCACUGUGCCCGGAAUUUCUCUCUUCCUCUUCCUUAUUGGACAACACACUUUCAACACGCUUAGAACAUGUUUCAUGUAAAAACAGGAACAUUUAGACAAAGCAAAAGGAACUCACUGCACAUAACAGACGGGAUCAAAACAGUUAAUUAUCCAGGAAUAAGGUAGAACCCUAGGAGAACCAACUGUGGAGGAGGGGGGCACAGGAACACACAACUCACUAUGGGACGGGACGCGCUUUCCUUCCUACACAAUCAUGAAAUGCUGUUUAAUUAAAAAAGAUUUUAGUGUGUUCAUCUUGCCUGCAGACACUUUGUUGAUAUGACCACUGCAGAUCUGCAUUAUAUUACUCAGCUUUGCUUUGUGCUAAAAAUCUGUACGGAUAGUAGAUAGUAUACUUAUAAAAUCACUGAUAAAAAUAUUCCUCUGUUAACAAUACGCCUUGGAGGGGGACCAUGAACACUGGGGCAGGCUGGGAGGGGGGGGGUCGGAGGUCAGGGGUCGGCAGUGUUGCUACUCAGACUUGGCUUCCUCCUUCUCCGCCUCAGGAGCAUCCUCCAUCUGCAGGGUCAGAGGUUAGAGGUCAGUAGAACAACCUGACAUUCCUGUUGGUAGUUUCUCAUCCUAAAACAGGAGCUUAUCUCUGCCAUCAAGCUGACCAAUGUCUUCUAAUGUCCCUUUAUGACCAGCACCAGGUCCUCUACAGUCCAUGAUGUCUUUAUGACCAGCAUCAGGUCCUCGACAGCCCAUGAUGUCUUUAUGACCAGCAUCAGGUCCUCUACAGCCCAUGAUGUCUUUAUGACCAGCCUCAUGUCCUCUACAGUCCAUGAUGUCUUUAUGACCAGCCUCAGGUCCUCAACAGUCCAUGAUGUCUUUAUGACCAGCAUCAGGUCCUCAACAGUCCAUGAUGUCUUUAUGACCAGCAUCAGGUCCUCAACAGUCCAUGAUGUCUUUCUAGUUCCUCCUAGGACUCGAUCUCUAGAUCCAUCUAUACUCCUUUAUGUCUGCAAUGACUGUCUUAUUUGUCCUAUACCUGUUAAUGACCAUUGAAUGUCUGCCUAUGACCUGUCUUAUGUAUAGUAAUGUACAGUAUAGUAGUAUUUUUAUUUAACCAAGCAAGUCAGUUAUGAAGUGGUUAUUAUUUAUAAUGACGGCCUACCCCGGCCAAACCCUAACAACGCCGGGCCAAUUGUGCACCGCCCUACGGGAUUCCCAAUCACAGCCGGCUGUGAUACAGCCUGGAAUCGAACCAGGGCCUGUAGUGACGCCUCUAGCACUGAGAUGCAGUGCCUUAGACCGCUGCGCCACUCGGGAGCCCAUAGUAUAGUAGUGUACAGUAUAGUGGUGAAUAGUAGUGCACAGUACAGUAGUGCACAGUACAGUAGUGCACUAUAGAGUAGUCUACAGUAUAGUAGUGCACUGUAGAGUAGUAUAUAGUAUAGUAGUGCACUGUAGAGUAGUAUAUAGGAUAGUAGUGCACUGUAGAGAAGUAUAUAGGAUAGUAGUGCACUGUAGAGUAGUAUAUAGUAUAGUAGUGCACUGUAGAGUAGUAUAUAGUAUAGUAGUGCACUGUAGAGUAGUAUAUAGUAUAGCAGUGCACUGUAGAGUAGUAUAUAGUAUAGUAGUGCACAGUACAGUAGUACACUGUAGAGUAGUAUAUAGGAUAGUAGUAUAUAGGAUAGUAGUGCACUGUAGAGUAGUAUAUAGUAUAGUAGUCUACAGUAUAGUAGUAUAGUAGUCUAUAGUACUGUAGUCUACAGUAUAGUAGUCUAUAGUACUGUAGUCUACAGUAUAGUAGUCUAUAGUACUGUAGUCUACAGUAUAGUAGUCUAUAGUUUAGUAGUCUACAGUAGAGUAGUAUAUAGUAUAGUAGUCUACAGUAUAGUUUAUAGUAGUAUAUACUGUAGUAGUGUAUAGUCGUGUACAGUAUAGUGGUGAAUAGUAGUGCACAGUACAGUAGUAUACAGUACAGUAGUUUAUAGUAGUAUAUACUGUAGUAGUGUAGUCGUGUACAGUAUAGUGGUGAAUAGUGCACAGUACAGUAUAGUAGUGCACAGCACAGUAGUUCACUGUAGAGUAGUAUAUAGUAUAGUAGUGCACUGUAGAGUAGUAUAUAGUAUAGUAGUGCACUGUAGAGUAGUAUAUAGUAUAGUAGUAUAUAGGAUAGUAGUGCACUGUAGAGUAGUAUAUAGUAGUGCACUGUAGAGUAGUAUAUAGUAUAGUAGUAUAUAGGAUAGUAGUGCACUGUAGAGUAGUAUAUAGUAUAGUAGUGCACUGUAGAGUAGUAUAUAGUAUAGUAGUGCACUGUAGAGUAGUAUAUAGUAUAGUAGUAUAUAGGAUAGUAGUGCACUGUAGAGUAGUCUACAGUAUAGUAGUGCACUGUAGAGUAGUAUAUCGUAUAGUAGUGCACUGUAGAGUAGUAUAUAGUAUAGUAGUGCACUGUAGAGUAGUAUAUAGUAUAGUAGUAUAUAGGAUAGUAGUGCACUGUAGAGUAGUCUACAGUAUAGUAGUGCACUGUAGAGUAGUAUAUAGUAUAGUAGUGCACUGUAGAGUAGUAUAUAGUAUAGUAGUGCACUGUAGAGUAGUAUAUAGUAUAGUAGUAUAUAGGAUAGUAGUGCACUGUAGAGUAGUCUACAGUACUGUAGUCUACAGUAGAGUAGUUUACAGUACUGUAGUCUACAGUAGAGUAGUCUACAGUACUGUAGUCUACAGUAGAGUAGUCUAUAGUACUGUAGUCUACAGUAGAGUAGUCUAUAGUACUGUAGUCUACAGUAUAGUAGUCUACAGUAUAGUAGUCUAUAGUAUAGUAGUCUACAGUAUAGUAGUCUAUAGUACUGUAGUCUACAGUAGAGCAGUAUAUAGUAUAGUAGUCUACAGUAGAGUAGUAUAUAGUAUAGCAGUCUACAGUAUAGUAGUAAAAAUGUCCAGUAUAGUAAUGUAUAUUACCUGGUUGGUCUUGGCAUCUCCGUUCUCAGAGUGGUUCUCCUCAGCAGCUUCAGCCUCUGCGUUCUCCUUCGCUGCUGCCUUCUUAGUUUUCUUCUCCUCCUUCUUGUCAUUCACAGCCUUCUCUUUCUGGGUGGGGGGGGGGUGACAGACAUUAUCUACAGAGCCUUCGGAAAGUAUUCAGACCCCUUGACCUUUUCCACAUUUUAGGUUACAGCCUUAUUCUAAAAUGGAUUAAAUCAGUUUUUUUUGAGUGGCCCCCAUAUUUUUGAGUGACCCCCAUAUUGACAAAGCAACACUGUUGCUCUAUCGCCCCUGUCUGUAACUAACUCCGUAACCUGCACUUUAUCUCCUUGCCUCUUACCUCAUCUGGUGAAUGUACUUAAUUACCUUAUCAGCUCUGGCUGGGCCACUCAAGGACAUCCAUAGACUUGUCCCUUAGCCACUCCUGCGUUGUCUUGGCUGUGUGCUUAGGGUCAUUGUCCUAUUGGAAGGUGAACCUUCGCCCCAGUCUGAUGUCCUGAGCGCUCUGGAGCAGAUUUUCAUCAAGGAUCUCUCCGUACUUUGCGCCAUUCAUCUUUCCCUCGAUCCUGACUAGUCUCCCAGUCCCUGCCGUUGAAAAACAACCCCACAACAUGAUGCUUCCACCAACAUGCUUCACUGUAAGGAUGGUGCCAUGGUUUCUUCCAGAUGUGGCAUUCAGGCCAAAGACUUCAAUCUUGGUUUCAUCAGACCAGAGGAUCUUGUUUUUUCAUGGUCAGAGUCUUUAGGUGCCUUUUACUGAGGAAUGGCUUCUGUCUGGUCACUCUACCAUAAAAGGCCUGCUUGGUGGAGUGCUGCAGAGAUGGUUGUCCUUCUGGAAGGUUCUCCCAUCUCCAAAGAGGAACUCUGGAGCUCUGUCAGAGUGACCAUCGGGUUCUUGGUCACUUCCCUGACCAAGACCCUUCUCCCCCUAUUGCUCAGUUUGGCCGGGCGGCCAGCUCUAAAACAUUUGCAAAAAAAUCUAAAAACCUCUUUUUACUUUAUCAUUAUGGGGUAUUGUGUGUAGAUUGAUGAGGAUGUAUGUAUUUUUGUGCCCAUUUUAGAAUAAGGCUGUAACUUAACAACACUCUGAACACUCUCUCCAAAGGCACUGUAUACUAUGUUCAUAUGUAUGCCUUCUCUUUCUAGAGAGGGGGGUUUGUAGUUAGGUUUUUUGUGAUGAUUCUGGGGUUUGUAGUUCUGUAAUGCGAUGUUCUAGUCUUUUGUUCUGUUUGAUGGUUCUUGAGUUUGAAGUGAUGUUGUGUGCAGCCCUGGGGUUUGUAGUUCUGUUCUCGUACCUUUGCUGGUUUCUCCUUCUUGGCCUUGGGUUCAGUCUUGGCUGGGGCUGGUUUCUGGAGAGAGAGAACAAACAUCAGUCUCAUGUGUUCUACAACCACUGAUCAUUCCUAGUUCUACUGACCAAUAGAUGCUAGGGCUUCAGAUCUACUGACCAAUAGAUGCUAGGGCUUCAGAUCUACUGACCA